rnacentral:rRNA from 2 species
UAGCGACCCCAGGUCAGGCG